rnacentral:piRNA from 1 species
UUAUAUGAUUUUGGACGACCGUCUUGGA